ensembl:lncRNA
CUCUAGGACCUAUGGGGCCACCAGUCUGCUUGCAGUUGUCAGUUAUCGUCAGGUAUGUGGGCUUUAUUCAGGUUGGUUUCUUGAGCUACUUUGAUGUGUCAAGUGGGCGAGAUGCACAGUCUGUGUUUGACUUCAUGAACUUUUAUUUGUCUGAGUUCAAGUUUAUAGAGAAACUCAUUGUCCAAACCUAUGAUGGCACAGCUGUAAUGGAAUGUAUCUGCUAUUUGUAUUUACAGCUAAGUCUCCUCCUGUUCCCUGAUUAUUAAGAGGUGAUGACCACUCCACUACCAUUGUCAAAUUUCUCAAUUUUCUUUCUCCCCGCAUUGUGGGGAAGGGCCCGUAAGUAAGCAUUUCACUGUUGGUCCACACCUGUUAUUUACGAAGCAUGUGACAAAUAAAAGUUGAUGUGAUUUAAAGUUGUGCUUGUUGUUUUGGUAGGUUACUAAAUAACUAACACUGGUUGAACAAAGUAGUCAUUUGGCUGACACUUCACCACUAUGGCCUAUUUAUUGCCUUACCUCAUUUGCACACACUGUGUAUAGAUGUUUCUAUUGUGUUAUUGACUGUACCCUUGUUUAUCCCACGUGUAACUCUGUGUUGUUUGUGUCGAAUUACUUUGCUUUAUCUUGGCCAGGUCGCAGUUGUAAAUGAGAACUUGUUCUCAACUGGCCUUCCUGGUUAAAUAAAUGUGAAAUAAUUUUUUCAAUAAAUAAACAUGCAGCUCUUUCCCCAAAUCCAGGGCCAUAACCAUGUGUAAUCCAGGGGUGGCAUCCAUAGAAUGGAUACCAGGCAGGAUAAACACAAUGUUCUAGACAAACCACUUUCUUUUACCGUCCAAAGCUGACACUUGUAGACAGAACAUGAUAUGUGUGAGGAUUGUGUAUCUAUAUAGAGUGGGAUACAGAUAACACUCUGCUCCUCCACAGCAGUCACUGUGUGUUCUGUCUGGACCUGACUGCCACUGGCACCAGGAGCACCCUGGUGUACCAGGAACAGCAGCCUGAGCUCCAUUCCUUGAUGUGCUGGGAACUAUGCAAGAACCUUCUGUCUGCCCCUGAAUGAGAGGAGGGAAUGGGGGACCCCGUCAGACCUCUAUCAAAGGGAUACUAUCGCCUCCUACUGUCGCUGUCAUUGCAUUACACCUCAGCACUAUCUCUCCAAGCUGCUCACAGCCUACAGAGUAGAAAACAGAGUGCCUGGAGCUGGGCUACACAAGUACAUGGAAAGACCUCAGGACACAAUCUACACACCGCAAAGGCCACCCUGUAUCUGAGGACCUGAGCCUCAGGACUACCUGGCCGGAUGACUCCUGGCUGUCCCUGUCCCCAGUCCACCUGGUUGUGCUGCUGAUCCAGUGUCUGCUGUUCUGCCUACGGCUAUGUUACCCUGUCCUGUUCACCGGACGUGCUACCUUGUCCCGGACCUGCUGUUUCUACUCUCUCUCUCUCUCUCCCUCUCUCUACUGCACCCUCUGUCUCGUCCUCUGAAUGCUCAGCUAUGAAAAGCCAACUGAGAUUUACUUUUGAGGUGCUGACCUGUUGUACCCUUUCUAACCACUGUGAUUAUUAUUUCAUCUAUGAAGAUUUGAACAUCAAAUAUGCGUGUGUGAGUGAUUGGGGGGCAAGCUGUAAUGGGAUUACACACAUUAAACAGCUGUUUGUAAAAUUACCUCACUCUGUGUCAUUCAGGACCUUUCUGUUCUGUAAUCAGGAGGCUGGGUGAGGACGGGCUUCCCACGACAAAUCACAUGCUUGUAUGUCAAGUCCACAGACAUGUUCUUACACACCCACUACUCUUAAUAUGCUCUCAUAACAUGUGUGUGCCUUUCUCUAUAUCAAAUCCAAUUUUAUUAGUCACAUGCGCCAAAUACAAACUUACAGUAAAAUGCUUACUUAUGAUGUCACUCCCUGACCUUAGAGAGCCUGUUUAUUUCUCUAUUUGGUUAGGUCAGAGUGUGAUUUGGGUGGGCAUUCUAGUUUUCUAUUUCUUUGUUGGCCGGGUAUGGUUCCCAUAUGAGGCAGCUGUCUAUUGUUGUCUCUGAUUGGGAAUCACAAUUAGGCAGUCUGUUUUCCACCUGAGUUUGCGGGAUCUUGUUUUUGCACAGUAGCUGUAUAGCCCUGCAAAACUAUGUUUGUUUAUCUUUUGUUGUUCAUCUAAAAUAAAGAAAGAUGUACACUUUC